CCUCCGUCCAGAAGGUCUCCUCUGUCCUCAGUCCAGAAGGUCUCCUCUAUGUCCUCAGUCCAGAAGGUCUCCUCUAUGUCCUCAGUCAGAAGGUCUCCUCUGUCCUCAGUCCAGAAGGUCUCCUCUAUGUCCUCAGUCCAGAAGGUCUCCUCUGUCCUCAUUCCAGAAGGUCUCCUCUAUGUCCUCAGUCAGAAGGUCUCCUCUAUGACCUCAGUCCAGAAGGUCUCCUCUAUGUCCUCAGUCCAGAAGGUCUCCUCUAUGUCCUCAGUCCAGAAGGUCUCCUCUAUGUCCUCAGUCAGAAGGUCUCCUCUGUCCUCAGUCCAGAAGGUCUCCUCUAUGUCCUCAGUCCAGAAGGUCUCCUAUGUCCUCAGUCCAGAAGGUCUCCGCUAUGUCCUCAGUCAGAAGGUCUCCUCUAUGGCCUCAGUCCAGAAGGUCUCCUCUAUGUCCUCAGUCCAGAAGGUCUCCUCUGUCCUCAGUCCAGAAGGUCUCCUCUAUGUCCUCAGUCCAGAAGGUCUCAUCUAUGUCCUCAGUCCAGAAGGUCUCCUCUAUGUCCUCGGUCCAGAAGGUCUCCUCUAUGUCCUCAGUCCAGAAGGUCUCCUCUAUGUCCUCAGUCCAGAAGGUCUCCUCUAUGUCCUCAGUCAGAAGGUCUCCUCUGUCCUCAGUCAGAAGGUCUCCUCUAUGUCCUCAGUCAGAAGGUCUCCUCUCAGUCCCCAGUCCAGAGACGGG
ensembl:lncRNA